rnacentral:rRNA from 1 species
GUUGAAAAACCAUGGGAUGAGCUGUGGAUAGCGGAGAAAUUCCAAUCGAACUCGGAGAUAGCUGGUUCUCCUCGAAAUAGCUUUAGGGCUAGCGUCGUGUAAUUGAGUAAUGGAGGUAGAGCACUGAAUGGGCUAGGGGCUAUAGUAGUUACCGAACCCUAUCAAACUCCGAAUGCCAUAUACUUGUAUCACGGCAGUCAGACUGCGAAUGAUAAGAUCCGUAGUCAAAAGGGAAACAGCCCAGACCAUCAGCUAAGGUCCCAAAGUGUAAGUUAAGUGGAAAAGGAUGUGGGAUUUCUAAGACAACUAGGAUGUUGGCUUAGAAGCAGCCACUCAUUUAAAGAGUGCGUAAUAGCUCACUAGUCAAGAGAUCCUGCGCCGAAGAUGUCCGGGGCUCAAACUUACCACCGAAGCUAUGGGUGUACACUAUGUGUACGCGGUAGAGGAGCUUUCUGUAUGGGUUGAAGUCGUACCGUAAGGAGCGGUGGACUGUACAGAAGUGAGAAUGCUGGCAUAAGUAGCGAGAAAUAAGUGAGAAUCUUAUUGGCCGAAAACCUAAGGUUUCCUGAGGAAGGUUCGUCCGCUCAGGGUUAGUCGGGACCUAAGCCGAGGCCGAAAGGCGUAGGUGAUGGACAAUCGGUUGAUAUUCCGAUACCACCUAUUUACGUUUGAGAAAUGGGGUGACGCAGUAGGAUAAGAUGUGCGCACUAUUGGAUGUGCGUCUAAGCACUUAGGCAUGCUUGAUAGGCAAAUCCGUCGAGCUAAGCUGAGGUGUGAUGGGGAGCCAUUUAUGGCGAAGUAUCUGAUUCCACACUGCCAAGAAAAGCCUCUAUCGAGUGAAUAGGUGCCCGUACCGCAAACCGACACAGGUAGGUGAGGAGAGAAUCCUAAGGCCAUCGGAAGAAUUGCUGUUAAGGAACUCGGCAAAUUGACCCCGUAACUUCGGGAGAAGGGGUGCCUACGAAAGUAGGCCGCAGAGAAUAGGCCCAAGCAACUGUUUAGCAAAAACACAGGUCUCUGCUAAAGCGAAAGCUGAUGUAUAGGGGCUGACGCCUGCCCGGUGCUGGAAGGUUAAGGGGAACACUUAGCGUAAGCGAAGGUGUGAACUUAAGCCCCAGUAAACGGCGGCCGUAACUAUAACGGUCCUAAGGUAGCGAAAUUCCUUGUCGGGUAAGUUCCGACCCGCACGAAUGGCGUAAUGAUUUGGGCACUGUCUCAACAGCAAAUCCGGCGAAAUUGUAGUGCAAGUGAAGAUGCUUGCUACCCGCGAUUGGACGGAAAGACCCCGUAGAGCUUUACUGUAGCUUAGCAUUGAAUCUCGGUAUUGUCUGUACAGGAUAGGUGGGAGACUUGGAAACUUGGGCGUCAGCCUGAGUGGAGUCAUCCUUGGGAUACCACCCUGACAGUACUGGGGUUCUAACCGGAGGCCAUGAAUCUGGUCACGGGACAUUGUUAGGUGGGCAGUUUGACUGGGGCGGUCGCCUCCUAAAAAGUAACGGAGGCGCCCAAAAGUUCCCUCAGCGCGGUCGGAAAUCGCGCGAAGAGUGCAAAGGCAGAAGGGAGCUUGACUGCGACACAUACAGGUGGAGCAGGGACGAAAGUCGGGCUUAGUGAUCCGGUGGUACCUCGUGGGAGGGCCAUCGCUCAACGGAUAAAAGCUACCUCGGGGAUAACAGGCUGAUCUCCCCCAAGAGUCCACAUCGACGGGGAGGUUUGGCACCUCGAUGUCGGCUCGUCGCAUCCUGGGGCUGAAGUAGGUCCCAAGGGUUGGGCUGUUCGCCCAUUAAAGCGGCACGCGAGCUGGGUUCAGAACGUCGUGAGACAGUUCGGUCCCUAUCCGUCGCGGGCGUAGGAAAUUUGAGAGGAGCUGUCCUUAGUACGAGAGGACCGGGAU